rnacentral:ncRNA from 21 species
UGUCCCCCUCAACGGCUUCCUGACGAGGCGGGCUUAACAAAACGGAGCA